rnacentral:tRNA from 1 species
GGGCCCGUAGCUCAGCUGGUUAGAGCGCUUCCAUGGCAUGGAAGAGGCCAGGGGUUCGAAUCCCCUCGGGUCCA